rnacentral:rRNA from 1 species
AGAGUUUGAUCAUGGCUCAGGAUGAACGCUAGCGGGAGUAACACAUGCAAGUCGAGGGGCAGCACGGGCUUCGGCCUGGUGGCGACCGGCGCACGGGUGCGUAACGCGUAUGCAACCUGCCUUAUGCAGGGGGAUAGCCCAUGGAAACGUGGAUUAAUACCCCAUAGAAUCAAUGAUUCGCAUGGAUUAUUGAUUAAAACUUCGGUGGCAUAAGAUGGGCAUGCGUCUGAUUAGCUUGUUGGUGAGGUAACGGCUCACCAAGGCGACGAUCAGUAGGGGUUCUGAGAGGAUUAUCCCCCACACUGGUACUGAGACACGGACCAGACUCCUACGGGAGGCAGCAGUGAGGAAUAUUGGUCAAUGGGCGCGAGCCUGAACCAGCCAUCCCGCGUGCAGGAUGACGGCCCUAUGGGUUGUAAACUGCUUUUCUACGCCAAGAAACCUGAUUACGUGUAAUCAGUUGCCGGUAGCGUAGGAAUAAGCAUCGGCUAACUCCGUGCCAGCAGCCGCGGUAAUACGGAGGAUGCAAGCGUUAUCCGGAUUCAUUGGGUUUAAAGGGUGCGCAGGUGGGCUUGUAAGUCAGUGGUGAAAUGCUGCCGCUUAACGGUAGAAUUGCCAUUGAUACUGCGAGUCUUGAGUAUGGUUGAGGUAGGCGGAAUGUGUUGUAGCGGUGAAAUGCAUAGAUAUGACACAGAACGCCGAUUGCGAAGGCAGCUUACUAAGCCAUUACUGACGCUGAGGCACGAAAGCGUGGGGAGCGAACAGGAUUAGAUACCCUAGUAGUCC